UACGUAGGGUGCGAGCGUUAAUCGGAAUUACUGGGCGUAAAGCGUGCGCAGGCGGCGCGUUAAGACAGGUGUGAAAGCCCCGAGCUUAACUUGGGGAAUUGCGCUUGUGACUGGCGUGCUGGAGUGUGGCAGAGGGAGGUGGAAUUCCACGUGUAGCAGUGAAAUGCGUAGAGAUGUGGAGGAACACCGAUGGCGAAGGCAGCCUCCUGGGCCGAGCACUGACGCCUCAUGCAC
rnacentral:rRNA from 1 species